UACAGAGGGUGCAAGCGUUAAUCGGAAUUACUGGGCGUAAAGCGUGCGUAGACGGUAGCGUAAGUCGGGUGUGAAAGCCCCGGGCUCAACCUGGGAACGGCGAUGGAUACUGGCGGGCUAGAGUGCGGUAGGGGGUGGUGGAAUUCCCGGUGUAGCAGUGAAAUGCGUAGAGAUGUGGAGGAACACCGAUGGCGAAGGCAGCCCCCUGGGUCAAGAUUGACGCUCAUGCACGAAAGCGUGGGGAGCAACAGG
rnacentral:rRNA from 1 species